rnacentral:rRNA from 1 species
AACGAACGCUGGCGGCAUGCCUAACACAUGCAAGUCGAACGAGACCUUCGGGUCUAGUGGCGCACGGGUGCGUAACGCGUGGGAACCUGCCCUUAGGUUCGGAAUAACUCCCCGAAAGGGGUGCUAAUACCGGAUAAUGUCUUCGGACCAAAGAUUUAUCGCCUUUGGAUGGGCCCGCGUUGGAUUAGCUAGUUGGUAGGGUAAAAGCCUACCAAGGCGACGAUCCAUAGCUGGUCUGAGAGGAUGAUCAGCCACACUGGGACUGAGACACGGCCCAGACUCUUACGGGAGGCAGCAGAGGGGAAUAUAGGAAAAUGGGCGAAAGGAUGAUGCAGCAAGGCCGCGUGAGUGAUGAAGGCCGUAGGGUAGUAAAGCUCUUUUACCCGGGAUGAUAAUGACGGUACCGGGAGAAUAAGCACCGGCUAACUCCGUG